GACGAACGCUGGCGGCGUGCUUAACACAUGCAAGUCACGGGGGUCCCGCAAGGGAUAACCGGCGAACGGGUGCGUAACACGUGAGCAACCUGCCGUACUCAGGGGGAUAGCCGGCCCAACGGCCGGGUAAUACCGCAUACGAUUCUUCGGGGGAGUCCCCGGGGAAGGAAACCUCUGGGGGAGUACGAGGGGCUCGCGGCCUAUCAGCUAGUUGGUGCGGUAACGGCGCACCAAGGCGACGAUCGGUAGCUGGUCNGAGAGGAUGACCAGCAUCACUGGGACUGAGACACGGCCCAGACUCCUACGGGAGGCAGCAGUGGGGAAUAUUGGACAAUGGGCGCAAGCCUGAUCCAGCCAUGCCGCGUGGAUGAUGAAGGCCCUAGGGUUGUAAGUCCUUUUAACGGGAAGAUAAUGACGGUACCCGUAGAAUAAGCCCCGGCUAACUUC
rnacentral:rRNA from 1 species